rnacentral:rRNA from 1 species
AGAGUUUGAUCCUGGCUCAGAACGAACGCUGGCGGCGUGUCUUAAGCAUGCAAGUCGAGCGGCAAGGGGUAGCAAUACCCCCUAGAGCGGCGGACUGGUGAGUAACGCGUGGGUGAUCUGCCCUUGGGAUGGGGAUAGCCAUUAGAAAUAGUGGGUAAUACCGAAUACGUUCGUCAUGCCGAGGCAUGGCGAGGAAAAGCGCUACGGCGCUGCCCGAGGAUGAGCCCGCGUCCCAUUAGCUAGUUGGUGAGGUAACGGCCCACCAAGGCGAUGAUGGGUAGCCGGCCUGAGAGGGUGUACGGCCACACUGGGACUGAGAUACGGCCCAGACUCCUACGGGAGGCAGCAGCUAAGAAUAUUCCGCAAUGGACGAAAGUCUGACGGAGCGACGCCGCGUGAACGAUGAAGGCCGAAAGGUUGUAAAGUUCUUUUGUUGGGGAAGAAUAAGGCUGGGAGGGAAUGCCCGGCUGAUGACAUGAACCGACGAAUAAGCCCCGGCUAACUACGUGCCAGCAGCCGCGGUAACACGUAGGGGGCGAGCGUUGUUCGGAAUUACUGGGCGUAAAGGGCAUGUAGGCGGCCUUGUAAGCCUGGCGUGAAAGUCACCGGCUCAACCGGUGGAUUGCGUCGGGAACUGCGAGGCUUGAGUCACGGAGGGGGAGCUAGAAUUCCUGGUGUAGGGGUGAAAUCUGUAGAGAUCAGGAAGAAUACCAGUGGCGAANGCGAGCUCCUGGCCGAUGACUGACGCUGAGGUGCGAAAGUGUGGGGAUCAAACAGGAUUAGAUACCCUGGUAGUC